GAUGCUCUGUGGUAUCCCAUAGAUGAGAGGCAGGUUCUUUAGUUAUGGAUGCUCAUGUUCAUGAGGAUGUGGCACCCUGACCAGAGCAGUGGUGUGUGGGAGGAGGUCUUAAUUAAAGAUUAACAAAUCAGCUGGAAUUCAACAAGAGAACUGAGCCAAAGUUAAAAAUAUGAACUCAUAGAAACCCUACUGCAAGCUUGGAAGAACUCUUUCUUUUUUUUCCAGCUGGUUGGAUUUAUUUGAAUGCUUACAAAGCUGUUCUGUUUCUGAUGUUAGUGGUGCCCUGUGCAGAUGGAAGCAGAGCUCACCAUUACGAUGAGAGAGACCACUCCUCCGUGUGGAUUCAGUUGUACCCAUAACACCCAUGUUAGCACCAUGUGGCUUUGGGAGAAACCUUGAGUUAAAUGUGGGAAGAAUUCGGAGAUGAGGAGAUUAAGAAAGAUUGCAAACUGCAGAUUAAGAAAGAUGUGUGUCAUGCCAAGGGAUGACUGAACUAUUGUUUUGGUGUUAGUUAAUGAAUAUGAAACAUGAAUAUCUGUUUUUGCUGAGAUUCCUUAACCUGAGUCCGCAACUGCUUUUAAUACUUUCAUUUUUUUCAAGCUAGGAAAAAGACACCUUUUGGUAUGCUGGGCAACCUCAAGGCAAAGGCAAAUGCUUCAAAACCAGCUAGCAGUAACAGCUGUCUGGGGUUUGAACAAAAUUGCCUAUUUUGUCCGUAGUCUGUGUGGUGUCUCACAUAGGAAAGAUAUGGAAGAUUUGCACUGUAUGGAGCACAAGAAAGUGCCUUCCUGAGCAGGGGCACAAGUCCCUCCAUGUACUCUGUGAGCCAUGAAAUACAUUGUUUGUUGCCCACGCCUCAACCUGGACCUUGAGCUUGUGGAGGUCUCUGCCCUGCAGAUCGGCCACCACCUCUACAACAUGGUGUAACCAGCCCAAGCUGGAGCCAGUGCUUAUCUGCAUCUCAGCUUCACCUCACCCCAGUGUGAAGAGCUGGCCAUGAGAACACUUUUACAUCAUUUACUGCCUUUAUGGGGAGAUGGAACUCAACAACAGUUGAGGUCACCUCCAACCCAAGCCAUUCCAUGACUCUUAUUUGAAGAAGCAUGUCACAUGUCAAGUUGGUAACCAACAGAUACAGCACCAAAAGUGAAGCUUCUCCUCCUGCUUCUUUUUCAAUUCUUUUUUUUUUUUUUUUUGCUGGAAGCAGCAGAUGAAUGUGUUGACAAGCAGUACCUCAGCAAAGAACAGAAGUGGGAAAGAACAGCUUGCAAGAGGUAAUCUUCUGCCACCUGAGAAGAAAUGCACAUGGGAAUGAGAGAUGAGCAGGUAAUAAAGGUACUUUUGACUUUAAUGCAUCCAUCGCCUGGCAUGCAAGCAGGAAUGAAAUGAGAGGCUAUUUCUUACCCAGACAGAGCAAACAUCUGGCAGCUGCUGGGCUCGGUCGUGGGCUCACUGCUUUCUGUGCUUCAAGCCAGUUGGAGUUACCAGUAACGAGGUAGAUGGAAGCCCUGGGCUGUUUUUCUUUUCUCUUUCACAACUGCUGUGAAAAAUUUGCAGUAAAACUUGUAGCAGUAAAGCAGAGUUUUAAGUUUUGCUGUGACUUAAGAGGCUUUGCAGAAGGUUGGUAUUUCAUUGAAACCUGAAGAGAAACAGAGGCAGCAUAUUUUCGCUGUGUGUUGUGUAUGUUAAUGAGUCACCUGUAGGCUGGGAAUUGGGAAUCUGAGAAAAAUGGGUGUUUUGGUAAAAGUGGUGGAGGUGGGCUUUGCUGCAAACCUCCUUCCGCAGCUGGGGCAAGGCAUGUUGUCAUUUUGGGGUCUGCCAGUACAAUACAGAUUUGAGAGCUGCACCACAUCUUUGGGUAACGGUGUUAUGAGGGCAAAUCCAUGCAGGCUGUGAAGCGCCCAAGAUCACAGCAAUGAGAGCAGUUAUCUGUACACAGAGAGAAGAUAUAGGCACUCAGUGAAGAGACUGGGGGAGGAAAUAAUGGGAGGAACCACAUCAUUAAGGAUUUUAUAUAAAACCCACGCAAUGUAUUUAUUUAUUUAUUUAUUUAUUUAUUUUGUUUAUUUCCUCAUUACUGGUAAUUCUCUGAGAUGGUUCCAUGCACCAACCGUCUCCAUCAGCCACCAGCCCUCCAGACCAGCUAGGAGUUCUUCAGCCUUCAGGGCUGGAAGGUGAGGAAAACAUUAUGCGUUCCUCCUCUGUUCCAUUUAGUUUCUAAAGAGAUUAAAUUUACUGGGAGAGAUUAAAAAAGAGAUUAAAGAGAUUCAUUUUCCUGGAAAGAGGUCUCUCUCUCAAACAAAAUAUGAACAUAAAUAACAAUGCAAAGAGACUGAAAAUACAUACAGGAAAUUUAAGGUGCAGCUGCAGACAAAAUAAGAAAAGAGACUUGAGAAAGAGACCAUAAAACAUAAUAUAAUCUCGCUGUUGAUUUAGAAUUACUCCAUCCUUUCUUCAUAUACCACCAGGCAAAAUUUACACUUUACAAAUCUAUAAAAGGAACACACAAAUAAUCAGCUGUGGAUAGACUUACCUGUCCUUCUCCUGCAGCUUUCUUU
ensembl:lncRNA